GACGAACGCUGGCGGCGUGCUUAACACAUGCAAGUCGAACGGAAAGGCCUGCUUUCCCUUGUGGAUUGCGGGUACUCGAGUGGCGAACGGGUGAGUAACACGUGAGUGAUCUGCCCCCAACUUGGGUAUAAGCCUGGGAAACUGGGUCUAAUUCCCGAUAGGACUGCAGGGUGGUGCCUGUGGUGGAAAACGAUUUUCUAGUGGUUGGGGAUGAGCUCGCGGCCUAUCAGCUUGUUGGUGGGGUAAUGGCCUACCAAGGCGGCGACGGGUAGCCGGCCUGGGAGGGGGGACGGCCACAUUGGGACGGAGAUACGGCCCAGACUCCUACGGGAGGCAGCAGUGGGGAAUAUUGCACAAGGGGCGGAAGCCUGAUGCAGCGACGCCGCGUGGGGGAUGACGGCCUUCGGGUUGUAAACUCCUGUCGACCGAGAGGAAGCCACCUGGUUGGAAGGGUGGUGACGGUAGUGGUAGAAGAAGCACCGGCUAACUACGUG
rnacentral:rRNA from 1 species